rnacentral:rRNA from 1 species
GCUAAUACUUGACGGGUAACGCCCUCAGUCGAGUGUGUUCCUCCGGGAGCAUAAUCUACUGAGGAGGGGAGGAUCCUUAUGGUCCUUUCAAUAUAUUACCACUUCUUUGUGAAUAAGGGUGGAUUAUAUGCCAAGAGAAUUGUAGAAAUCGAAAGAUUUUCACAAGUCAUCAUUAAGAAUAUCUGACCUAUCAACUGGUUGUUGGUAAGGUAGUGGCUUACCAAGGUGAUAACGGGUAACGAGGAAUAAGGGUUCGACAUCGGAGAGGGAGCUUUAGAAAUGGCUACCACUUCUAAGGAAGGCAGCAGGCGCGAAAAUUACCCAAUCUUAACAACUGAAGGAGGUAGUGACGACAAUUAACGCUUUCCCUCGCAUUUUGUGAGGAUUGCCGGAAUGAUCACGACAUAAACCAUCGUGAGAAAGCGAUUGGAGGGCAAGUCUGGUGCCAGCAGCCGCGGUAAUUCCAGCUCCAAUAGUGUAUUGUAAAGUUGUUGUGAUUAAAACGCUCGUAGUUGAAUGWAAWCAAUCGRGACAUGAUUUACGUUCUCUGGCGUGUGAGCUUGCUCAUUGUCAGUAGAGCCGCAAUCAAUGAAUGUCUCACUAUAAGCGGGAGUUUGAUUCAGUUCCAAACUCUUUUACUUUGAUUAAAUCAAGGUGCUUAAAGCAAAAUCUUCUGUUAAUGAAUGAUGAAGCAUGGUAUAAAAUGAAAAACAGAACAGAAAUCAAUAUUGAAUUAUGGGGAUGGUUCGCCAUUCGAAUAUUUCAGUUUUUUGUUUUGUUUAAAACAAGAUUAAGAGAAAUGAUUAGGGUGAUUUAGAUAGGAACGGGAGAGGUGGAAUUCAAUUCUUCCCUUAUUCAGGACUUGAUGAGAAAUCAUUAAGUGAAUGGACUUCAGGGGGAGUAUGGUCACAAGGCUGAAACUUAAAGGAAUUGACGGAAGGGCACACCAGGAGUGGAGCCUGCGGCUUAAUUUGACUCAACACGGGAAAACUUACCAAGACCGAACGGUGUAAGGAAUGACAGGUUACUGGGUCUUUCAUGAUUCAUCGGGGAGU